CCUACGGGUGGCAGCAGUGAGGAAUAUUGCACAAUGGGGGAAACGCUGAUGCUGCGACGCCGCGUGAGCGAGGAAGUAUUUCGGUGUGUAAAGCUCUAUCAGCAGGGGAGAAAAUGACGGUACCUGACUAAGAAGCCCCGUCUAACUACGUACCAGGAGCCGCGGCAAUAAGUAGGGGGCAAGCGUUAUCCGGAUUUACUGGGUGUAAAGGGGACGUAGACGGUUAAUCAAGUCAGGAGUGAAAACCCAGGGCGAAACCUUGGGACUGCUUUGGAAACUGAGUAGCUAGAGUGCAGGAGUGGUAAGCGGAAUGCCUAGUGUAGCGGUGAAAUGCGUAGAUAUUAGGAGGAACACCAGUGGCGAAGGCGGCCUACCGGACUGCAACUGACGUUGAGGCUCGAAAGCGUGGGGAGCAAACAGGAUUAGAUACCCGUGUAGUC
rnacentral:rRNA from 1 species